rnacentral:rRNA from 1 species
ACGCACGCUGGCGGCGUGCUUCACACCUGCAAGUCGAACGGAAAGGCCCUGCUUUUGUGGGGUGCUCGAGUGGCGAGCGGGUGAGUAACACGUGAGUAACCUGCCCUUGACUUUGGGAUAACUUCAGGAAACUGGGGCUAAUACCGGAUAGGAGCUCCUGCUGCAUGGUGGGGGUUGGAAAGUUUCGGCGGUUGGGGAUGGACUCGCGGCUUAUCAGCUUGUUGGUGGGGUAGUGGCUUACCAAGGCUUUGACGGGUAGCCGGCCUGAGAGGGUGACCGGCCACAUUGGGACUGAGAUACGGCCCAGACUCCUACGGGAGGCAGCAGUGGGGAAUAUUGCACAGUGGGCGGAAGCCUGAUGCAGCAACGCCGCGUGCGGGAUGACGGCCUUCGGGUUGUAAACCGCUUUCGCCUGUGACGAAGCGUGAGUGACGGUAAUGGGUAAAGAAGCACCGGCUAACUACGUG